rnacentral:rRNA from 1 species
CUUAGGUGACUGCGGAGGGUCAUUACUGAGUUUUUAACUCUCCAAACCAUGUGAACUUACCACUGUCGAAAGGAGGUUGUGCUGGAAACAGUGCUGCCAUGGUGGACUACUAAACUCUUGUUAAUUUUUGUCAAAUCUGAAUCAAAACUAAGAAAUAAGUUAAAACUUUCAACAACGGAUCUCUUGGUUCUGGCAUCGAUGAAGAACGCAGCGAAAUGCGAUAAGUAAUGUGAAUUGCAGAAUUCAGUGAAUCAUCGAAUCUUUGAACGCACAUUGCGCCCAUUAGUAUUCUAGUGGGCAUGCCUGUUCGAGCGUCAUUUCAACCCUUAAGCCUAGCUUAGUGUUGGGAGACUGCCUAAUACGCAGCUCCUCAAAACCAGUGGCGGAGUCUGUUCGUGCUCUGAGCGUAGUAAUUUUUUAUCUCGCUUCUGCAAGCCGGCCAGACGACAGCCAUAAACCGCACCCUCUCGGGGGGCACUUUUUUAAUGGUUGACCUCGGAUCAGGUAGGAAUACCCGCUGAACUUAAGCAUAUCAAAAGGGGGGAAGAGAAA